AUCUGCCAUGCCCAGGCUGCACGUUGUCCGCCGCUAUCGCUGACGGUGGGUUCUGGCCCCACGCAGGCCGCAUGUCGGUGUCUGCUUCGUGGGUUCCGAUGCCGCUCUUGCGAGUUGGGCGUCCCGUUGCGGUGGGCAAGGGCCCCCUUUUCUCUUCGAUGUUGGCCUUUUCUUCUUCUCAUGCUUCUCAUUCUGUGCACGCUCGCUUCGCCCACUGCUGCGCGCUCUAUUCGUCUCCUCGCUUCAUCCCGUUCGAGCGCCCUGUCCUCCGGCUCUGCCAUCCGUUCCUCCAUGGGUGCUGUUGGUUGAGCUUGCUUGGAUUUCACGUUGGCUCUUUCGUAGGAGCGUGGGUGGUUCCGUCCUUGCUGUCCAGCAGCUAUCAAUGGACGCAGAAGACAUUUGUGCCUUAUUUUCUAACUAGAGCUAGAGCCGUACUUUUACAGCAGCUACCAAUGGACGCAGAAGAGAUACGUGCCAUAUUUUCUCCGGCCGAAGAACAUUCCGUCAAUGACCAGACUAAAGAACAGCCGGAUGAGGGAUGAAGUGGCAAGCAUGGAAGUAACCCACAGUCAGUUUUCUUCAUAUGCGGCAUGGUACAAACAAUAUGAGGUUUACUGGUUUUGGUUCACACAGAACAGCUCCAGGCUUAGGGUGGACUUUGUAGGAGCAUCAAGUUGGUGAAUGUGAAGCUAUAUGACUGGGUUCUCCAUUCCUAUUUUUACGCAUUUUGUUCAUCCUCAAAAUAGUUCCUGGCCGGCUCAUUUUUACAUGUGUGGUUGUUGUUAUUCAAGAGAAUUGAAUUAGUGAAAUGGCUGGUGUUGGUUAAUAUAGUGGCCACUCAAACCCGCUCUACAUAGUUGAAUUUUUAGAUCUUUCCAAUGAUGUCUUUAACUUCAUAUCAGAUUCGGAUUUUUAUCCUGUGUCACUUGCUGGGUUUUUUCAAUUACUUGGUAGUCGUGCA